UACAGAGGGGCAAGCGUUAUUCGGAAUUAUUGGGCGUAAAGGGCGCGUAGGCGGCUUUCAAGUGACGGGUGAAAUCCCUCGGCUUAACCGAGGAACUGCCUGUCAGACUGGAAGGCUUGAGACCGGGAGAGGUGAGUGGAAUUCCAGUGUAGCGGUGAAAUGCGUAGAUAUUGGGAGGAACACCAGUGGCGAAGGCGGCUCACUGGACCGGAACUGACGCUGAGGCGCGAAAGCGUGGGAGCAAACAGG
rnacentral:rRNA from 1 species